CCUACGGGUGGCAGCAGUGGGGAAUAUUGCACAAUGGGGGAAACCCUGAUGCAGCGACGCCGCGUGAGUGAAGGAGUAUUUCGGUAUGUAAAGCUCUGUCAGCAGGGAAGAAAAUGACGGGACCUGACCAAGAAGCCACGGCUAAAUACGUGCCAGCAGCCGCGGUAAUACGUAGGGGGCAAGCGUUAUCCGGAUUUAAUGGGGGUAAAGGGAGCGUAGACGGGAGGGCAAGUCUGGAGUGAAAGGCGGGGGCUCAACCCCCGGACUGCUUUGGAAACUGCCAGGCUGGAGUGCAGGAGAGGUAAGUGGAAUUCCUAGUGUAGCGGUGAAAUGCGUAGAUAUUAGGAGGAACACCAGUGGCGAAGGCGGCUUACUGGACUGUAACUGACGUUGAGGCUCGAAAGCGUGGGGAGCAAACAGGAUUAGAUACCCUAGUAGUC
rnacentral:rRNA from 1 species